CAUUACCGAGUGAGGGCCCUCUGGGUCCAACCUCCCACCCGUGUUUAUUUUACCUUGUUGCUUCGGCGGGCCCGCCUUAACUGGCCGCCGGGGGGCUUACGCCCCCGGGCCCGCGCCCGCCGAAGACACCCUCGAACUCUGUCUGAAGAUUGUAGUCUGAGUGAAAAUAUAAAUUAUUUAAAACUUUCAACAACGGAUCUCUUGGUUCCGGCAUCGAUGAAGAACGCAGCGAAAUGCGAUACGUAAUGUGAAUUGCAAAUUCAGUGAAUCAUCGAGUCUUUGAACGCACAUUGCGCCCCCUGGUAUUCCGGGGGGCAUGCCUGUCCGAGCGUCAUUUCUGCCCUCAAGCACGGCUUGUGUGUUGGGCCCCGUCCUCCGAUCCCGGGGGACGGGCCCGAAAGGCAGCGGCGGCACCGCGUCCGGUCCUCGAGCGUAUGGGGCUUUGUCACCCGCUCUGUAGGCCCGGCCGGCGCUUGCCGAUCAACCCAAAUUUUUAUCCAGGUUGACCUCGGAUCAGGUAGGGAUACCCGCUGAACUUAAGCAUAUCAAUAAGCGGAGGAA
rnacentral:rRNA from 3 species